UUCCUACUUGCUGUUGGCAGCCGCCAUGAACUGUGGUCCAGUCAUGCCCGCCUGUCUUGGAGCCAACUGAGUGUGGACUGAAACUUCCAAAAACUGUGUAUGGUCCAGCAGGGAGCUGCCUAAUGAGCUGGGGCUCCAUCUUGUGAGUCCCCCUCCACUCCAGCCUGCGGCAUGCAUGUCACCUUGGUGAAUCCCAGCAGGGACUGAUCCUACCAUGAUCCCCAAGAUGAGUAAAUAAACAAGAGGAUUAAUUAAUUCUCUUAUCCAUUCAUUGACUCACUUGAUGAAUAUUUGUUUAGAGGAGAUGAGUCGAAGGAUGCUGACAUCCACCUAAGGUUGUGGACCAGAGCAGAGGCCUCUGCUGGGAGAACUAAGGAGAAGCUGACUCAGAUCCCCGGUCCUUCUGGACAGUGGGGUGCACAGGCCCUGGAGCACCUGUCUUCUGGACGGUGGGCCAGUGUUACAGGACCAUCACAUUGUUCCUAAUCCUCCCUCUAAGAGGAUAAUGGCAUCCCGCUACCUUAGGCCGGAUUCCAAGGACAGUGCUACAGAAAGAAGUGGGAAUCAGUGGAAAAGGCAAGGUCCCUGUGCCUUGCAGAAGACAGUGAGGAGGAGCCCUCGGGAUAAGCAGCCGUGUACCAUGGAGGGUCGGGCAGUGGUGCAGGAGUUGGGGCCCUUCACAAGGCCUCCUCUAGGGGUGGUAAUGGGGGAGUGGAAAGCAGAAGGGGUCUUUCUUAGCCUAGAAGAUGCUCAGAGGCAGAAGGCAAGAGCAUUCCAGAGAUGCUGGAGCUCUGAGCAGAAGGACCUGGAGUGAGGGUAAGACUAGAGCCUGCCUUAGCAAGUGGGGCUUGAGUUAGGCACCUGGUGCUGCUAAUACCAUCAUUGUGAUCCUGGAAAAUCUACAAUCCUAGGAAGCAUAUUCCUCAUGUAAUGUCCUCAACUUCUAGAAAAGAAGGUACAAUUAAAUUCUAAUAAAUACGUCCAUAGAUAAAUCUACAAAUAGACUGACGAUUCAGAAAACAACUCAGCAAGUGACCAGGGGUUAUUUAGAGUGUUAGUAUAAAGCGACCUUUCACACCAGAGUUUGGUAACUACUCAGUGAAGGGUGUUAAAAUAACCUAUUAUCUAUUGGAGAAAAAGUAAAUCGAAUUUAGUCCCUCAUACUGUGAAAGCAAAAUUCUAGACAAACUAAAUGCCUACACAAUUAAAACUUCCUAAAAGUAUUAAAAGAAAAAUGGAAUGUAUUUCAUUCCAUUUGGAAAUCAGAAAAGAGUCAUGAAUUCUUCAGUCGCUUUCCGUGAUGUCUCCUUGGUGAGGGUCUUUGGUCUCACUGUGGAAUGCAGGGUCUGUAAUCUUAUUUCAUUCUGAUAUGUUAGCGUGUGUGCACGUGUACUCGUGUGCAUGCCCUGUGACACUUCCAGCUGACCUCAGCCCUGUCUCCUAAGGAGAGGAAAUCACGAAUGGUGAGUGGUCAAGAGGGAUUGUAAACUUAUCUGUAUUGUUUGAAUUUUUUAUCAUCACAAUAGAUUCAUGUGCUACUUGUGUAAUUAAAAAUAAAUGAAAUUAAAUAUC